rnacentral:lncRNA from 1 species
UUUAACCAAAAUUGUGUAUCUUCUGCUAGACAUGAGUGAGAAGGGCUGUCCCAGGAGGCUGCUGCCCUUCAGCCUGGGUCUCAGAAUCAGAUGUGGAGCACACCUGAGAAAGAAGGUGCUUGUUUCCCCUUCACCUUCCACCAUGAUUCUACAUUUCCUGAGGCCUCCCCAGCACUGUGGAACUAUGAGGAAGCGGAUGCAUAGCAAGUUUAAAUAGCUUGCAGAAGGACACACAGUUUGCAAGUGAAGGAGCUCAAAUUCAAAGACUGGCAGUCUGCAUCCAGAGUUGAUCAUCUUAAAUACCAUGCUGAACCGGUUGCUCUCAAAGUCUAAACAGUAUUUUUUACAAUAAGUUUCACUUCUUGUAUUCACUUUUC